rnacentral:rRNA from 1 species
CGGACGGGUGAGUAAUGUCUGGGAAACUGCCUGAUGGAGGGGGAUAACUACUGGAAACGGUAGCUAAUACCGCAUAACGUCGCAAGACCAAAGAGGGGGACCUUCGGGCCUCUUGCCAUCGGAUGUGCCCAGAUGGGAUCAGCUAGUAGGUGGGGUAAAGGCUCACCUAGGCGACGAUCCCUAGCUGGUCUGAGAGGAUGACCAGCCACACUGGAACUGAGACACGGUCCAGACUCCUACGGGGAGGCAGCAUG